GGGGGCGACCGGAGUGAAGCCUGAUAGGCGGGCGGCGGCAGCGCCGCCCGCCCGCGGGGCACGCCCCGCGGGCAAUUUCGGGCAUCGUGUGUCUCUUCGGCCUCGUGCCCGUUCCACGCGCCGCAGAAUAUUUUCCAAAAUUGUCCUUGCAUCGCCGUCCGAGUUCCCGUAUAGUACUUCUUCGCACGGGGGCGUAGCUCAGCUGGGAGAGCGCUUGACUGGCAGUCAAGAGGUCAGGGGUUCGAUCCCCCUCGUCUCCACC
rnacentral:tRNA from 1 species